UGCAGUCGAGCGAUGGGUUAAGAGCUUUGCCUUAUGACUUUCGAGUGGGACAGGUGAGAAAAAUGUGUGUAACCUGGCCUUAUGACUGGGAUUAACCCCGGAAACCGGGGCUAAUACCGGAUAACAUUUUGAACCCCAAGGAUCGAAAUUUUCAGGCCUCUUCCGCUGUCAUUUAUGCAUGUGCCCUCGUCUCAUUAGCUAGUUGGUGAGGUAACGGCUCAACAAUGCCACGAUGCUUAGACAACCUGAGAGGGUGAUCGGCCACUCUGAGACUGAGACAACUCCCACACUCCGCCGGGAGGGGA
rnacentral:rRNA from 1 species